GAUGAAGAGGCGGCGAAAAAUAUGCAUAUACAUUAUGUGCAAAAAAGCGCGAACGUACCGAAAAUUGAAAUCGUACUCAAAAAUAUAUCAGAAUUAUAGCGAGUGAACGAUUUGAUGUGUGCGGGCUUUUAAGUGCAAUUAAAAACAAAGCUUGGAAAAUUAUAUAUUCAAACAAUUCGGUACGGUUCGUAUAUGUAGCCGUUCGCGCGCACAGAGCGCAGUCAUAUGCAAGCUUGUAACGAUCGUAGUUUGCCGAAAAAUAAGGAGACUCGAGAAUUCAUGCAGGAAACUAAGCAAGCUUGCGAUUAAGAAACUUUGGAUGGUGUAGAUUGCUCAAAGAUACCGUUGGCUUUGAAAGAGGCUUUCGAGUACUGUAAAGGCGAUGAUAACGAUCAAGAGGAGUACAAUAUCGACAUCGGCAGUACACCAUCUCAGCAAUUAGUUGAUGUUGUUCUUAAAGACCAAACAAUUGAAACGACUAAACGACUAAUAGUGUCGAUGGAGGUGAGAGACUAAGUAAAUUGCAUAAUAAUCGCUUGCGAACUGAUUUAAAACGAGGUGCGAGCGUGCGCCUCGGUUGCCAAUCUGCUACCAUCCGGAGACCAAUCCCCAUUCAAUUGUAGUUUUAUGGAAGCAGGAAAUAAGAAUUUAGGCGAUCCUGAGCCAAGUUUAAGUAUGAACAAUACAUUCGCAAUUGCAUUUGCCUUCGACCGCAACAAUUUUGGUACAAUGAACCAGUUUUAACAAACAUGG